GACGAACGCUGGCGGCGUGCCUAACACAUGCAAGUCGAACGGAAAGGCCCUGCUGUUGUGGGGUGCUCGAGUGGCGAACGGGUGAGUAACACGUGAGUAACCUGCCCUUGACUUUGGGAUAACUUCAGGAAACAGGGGCUAAUAACGGAUAGGAGCUCCUGCUGCAUGGUGGGGGUUGGAAAGGUUCGGCGGUUGGGGAUGGACUCGCGGCUUAGCAGCUUGUUGGUGGGGUAGUGGCUUACCAAGGCUUUGACGGGUAGCCGGCCUGAGAGGGUGACCGGCCACAUUGCGACUGAGGUACGGCCCAGACUCCUACUGGGGGCAGCAGUGGGGAAUAUUGCACAAUGGGCGGAAGCCUGAUGCAGCGGCUCCGCGUGCGGGAUGACGGCCUUCGGGUUGUAAACCGCUUUCGCCUGUGACGAAGCGUGAGUGACGGUAAUGGGUAAAGAAGCACCGGCUAACUACGUG
rnacentral:rRNA from 1 species